AUGAUACGAAGAGGGAAGAGCAGAAGACAUGAGGCUGAGCUGCACCGUGAAAGAUAUGGCAGUGAUGGAAAAUGCGUCAUUGGAAAGAACAAAAUCACUUUGUGCUAUUGCAAGAGCAGAAAGAAAAAAAGGAAGGAAAGCCAUUUUGUAAAAUGCAAUUUUCUCAGAGAUGAACAAUCGUUGAACUAAAAGCAGUUGAAAACACAAGCGUUUGUGUUCCCAUGCCUGCCCGUGACAACUGAAGAGGACAGAAAAGCUUUACAGCAGGACCUACGCC
rnacentral:lncRNA from 1 species